rnacentral:tRNA from 1 species
GGUCCCGUAGCUCAACUGGAUAGAGCAUCUGCCUUCUAAGCAGAGGGUUGCAGGUUCGAGUCCUGCCGGGAUCGCCA